GGCGCUGUGGCACAGUGGGUUAAUGCCCUGGCCUGAAGCGCUGGUAUCCCAUAUGGGCCCUGGUUCGAGACUAGGCUGCUCCA
rnacentral:tRNA from 1 species